GAGAUCUGACGGUUUUAUAAAGCGUAGUUUUCCCUGUACAAGCUCUCGCCUGCCGCCAUGUAAACGUUCUUUGCUCCUGCUUCGUCUUCUGCCGUGAUUGUGAGGCCUCCCCAGCCAUGUGGAACUACUCAUCACUCACUGCAGAUGUUACUUUAAGACAUUCUGGAGCAGCGUCAUGUGCAGGAACAAUAAGGAAGUGAGUGCUUUUGUAAUUCCUGAACAACUGUGUCUUACACUUACUAAGUUCUCUUGCCUGCCACCAUGUAAGAUAUGCUUUUACUCUUCCGCCUUCCACCGUGACUGUGAGGCCUCCCCAGCCAUGUGAAACUGCCUUUGAGCUUAUACUGAAUUAUACCACCAGCUUUCCUAGGUCUUGAAGCUUACAGACAGCAGAUCUUGGGACUUCUCAGGCACCAUAAUCAAUCAUAGAUAAAUGAUCCAAUGAUUCGGAACUUGAAAAGUGGUAGCUUUAUGAAUUCUCCUUAAGAAGAAACCUGUGCCCUGAUCUUGCCUACUCACCCAAAGGCACUGUGAGAUAGCAUCAAAGGAACAGCUAGUAAGAGACACAGAGCCAGAAAUCAGGGAAGUAAAAUACACUUGACAUCUACGUUCGGAAAGAAAUUUUAGGAGGCAGAAGCAAAUGGAUCAGAAGCUGCUUAUAUUUUUGCAAGAUUACCAAAGAAACCAUUGGUGGAGAAAGUUCUGUGACCAACUUGUCUGAGUCUAGUAAGAUUGAACGCUCACACACAAGUUUCAUGAAGUGGGUUUGAUACUUACAGAUAAGCAGCAAGGACCAACAGAAGCUGAUGAUCUAUGGUGAACUUUUUCCCAAGGCUCCGGAAAGCUGCCUAAAGUAGAUGGAGUCUUCUCUGUGUGUGCCCCACUGGUCCUGCAGUUGAAGGAUCCGGUAAAGCAGCCUGCCCUUGGUUUUAUACUCCAGAGGAACGUGAUUCGCUGGACUAAAGCAUUGAAGUGCAUCCUGUUUCCGGGGGGCACUGGAACAGAGCCUGGUCUGUUCUAGCCAGUCCCUUUCUAUCUCAGGAUAACAUUCUACAGUUAUUCUUGAGAACUAUAAUCAAAUAAGCAGGGAGAACUGGAGGCUCAUUGUGGAACCCUCAAGGAGCAUGGGGUCGUCUUCAUCCCUCAGUUUAUAAAUGGCCAAGGAGAGUAAUGCAACAAAAACUUCUCAGAGUUAAAAGCCAGAGUUCCUAAAGAACCGUGGACAAAGGGUUCUGUCUAGUGGGCAGAAUUCAUCCAGCGAAGGAAAUUUGGAACCCAGGUUUUCCCAACCUACAUCUACAAAAUGGAAUGGGUCUGAUUCGCAAGUUUUCAGAGAAAGAAGCCAACCUUAAUCAGACUGUGAUAUGAUGAGGAAAUAAAACUUGCUGUGCUAAUC
rnacentral:lncRNA from 1 species